UACGUAGGGGGCUAGCGUUGUCCGGAAUCAUUGGGCGUAAAGAGCGUGUAGGCGGCCCGGUAAGUCCGCUGUGAAAGUCGGGGGCUCAACCCUCGAAUGCCGGUGGAUACUGUCGGGCUAGAGUGCGGAAGAGGCGAGUGGAAUUCCUGGUGUAGCGGUGAAAUGCGCAGAUAUCAGGAAGAACACCGAUGGCGAAGGCAGUUCUCUGGGCCGUAACUGACGCUGAGGAGCGAAAGCGUGGGGAGCGAACAGG
rnacentral:rRNA from 1 species